rnacentral:rRNA from 1 species
CCUACGGGUGGCAGCAGUGAGGAAUAUUGGUCAAUGGCCGGAAGGCUGAACCAGCCAAGCCGCGUGAAGGACGAAGGUGCCAAGCAUUGUAAACUUCUUUUGUCAAGGGACAAAAUCAGGCUCGAGAGCCUGACCGAGGGUACUUGAAGAACAAGCAUCGGAAAACUCGGUGCCAGCAGCCGCGGUAAUAGGGAGGAUGCGAGCGUUAGCCGGAUGUAUGGGGUUAAAGGGGUGCGUAGGCGGACUGUUAAGUCAGCGGUAAAAGCCCGGGGCUCAACCCGGGCGAGCCGUUGAAACUGGCUGGCUUGAGAUGUCGAGAGGGAUGCGGAAUGCGAAGUGUAGCGGUGAAAUGCGUAGAGAUUGCGCAGAACUCCGAUGGCGAAGGCAGCAUACCGGCGGCGAUCUGACGCUGAGGUACGAAAGCGUGGGUAUCGAACAGGAUUAGAUACCCCAGUAGUC